rnacentral:rRNA from 1 species
GACAGAGGGUGCAAACGUUGUUCGGAAUUACUGGGCGUAAAGCGCGUGUAGGCGGCUCGGAAAGUCGGGUGUGAAAGCCCUGGGCUCAACCCAGGAAGUGCACUCGAAACUCCCGAGCUCGAGUCCCGGAGAGGAAGGCGGAAUUCUCGGUGUAGAGGUGAAAUUCGUAGAUAUCGAGAGGAACAUCGGUGGCGAAGGCGGCCUUCUGGACGGUGACUGACGCUGAGACGCGAAAGCGUGGGGAGCAAACAGG